CCUACGGGAGGCAGCAGUGGGGAAUAUUGCACAAUGGGGGAAACCCUGAUGCAGCGACGCCGCGUGAGCGAAGAAGUAUUUCGGUAUGUAAAGCUCUAUCAGCAGGGAAGAAAAUGACGGUACCUGAGUAAGAAGCUCCGGCUAAAUACGUGCCAGCAGCCGCGGUAAUACGUAUGGAGCAAGCGUUAUCCGGAUUUACUGGGCGUAAAGGGAGCGUAGGCGGCCUGCCAAGUCUGAUGUGAAAUACCGGGGCUCAACCCCGGGGCUGCAUUGGAAACUGGCAGGCUGGAGUGCCGGAGAGGCAGGCGGAAUUCCUAGUGUAGCGGUGAAAUGCGUAGAUAUCACGCAGAACUCCGAUUGCGAAGGCAGCAUACCGGCGCCCAACUGACGCUGAAGCACGAAAGCGUGGGUAUCGAACAGGAUUAGAUACCCCUGUAGUC
rnacentral:rRNA from 1 species